AUCCACUCAAUACCUGGUAGGAUGUACAUAAUUAAUGUAUUGCCCAGGGGUUAAUGUAUUUUGUAAUAUACACCAUGUCUUCAAGGUUUACAAAUCCUUUAGCAACAGCUAUUAACAAUGCACUCAAUGAAUUAAAGGAACAUACCAAGCAUAUUAGGCUCCUACUAUGGGACCAAGGUAGUUUGUUAAACUGUACUAAAGUUGUUUGAUUUUUUUACCAUGGUAUAAAUCCAGGGCACUUGUGGCACCAAAUCCACUACAGCAGUACUUUGAGUGUUCUUUCAGUGUGAUGCUUUAACAUUUCUAAUAAACCCCUAAUAUAGUUUGUUUUCAG